AACUGCAUUUCCACUUCAUGAAGGAAUUACAUUAAGUCAGUCUUGAGUUUGUACCUGGAAUUUGAAUAAAAAGUGAAGGAGAAGAGGUCAAGUUAAGGCAAACAGACGAGCAGCAACAACAAUAACAAUUUCCAGCAGUAUAGAACGACGAGCAGCCGAGGAAUGGAUUCAGAAAUCCAGAAAUAUUCAACAAUCAGACAUAAACUAACAAAUCCACCCAAAGACCACUUGAAAUGCACUCAAAUAAGCUCGAAAUGCACCAGAAUACUUCAGCAAAUCCAAAACUCAUCCAAAACCAGUUUAAACAGACCCAAAAUUGCUCGAAAUCAAACAAGAGAACAUUUGAAGUUUCAAAAUCCAAGUAUUGAACUAGAAGAAUGGAGAUCAACAACUAAAAGUCAAAAUUAACCUGAAUUGUCUAAUGGAACAGUACUUUUUUUUGGAUUUUUUAAGGUUUUCUAUUGUUUUUUGUUUUUCCUUUGAAGAAAGCUAAGCUAAAGGGGUUUUGGAUUUGAAAUUUUGAAUUUCAGAUCAGUGAGGCUAGAGGAGUAUUUUUGGGAGGAAUUUUUAGAGAUCAAAACUUGGGAAUGACGGCAUUGAACAUGACCUUUUAUAGGCACAAAUGGGGUUCUAUCAGAUUUUUAGACUUUACAAAUUAGCCCUUCCUUAUUUUCAGUUUGGUCCAUCUAUUUUUGACUGGCUAAGCAAGCAAAUACCUAUAUAGUGCUACCAUCUACACUAAUGUACCCUUCUAGAAGGCCCUAGGGUGCUCUUUUAGCUAGGAAAUUCCUUUACUACCCUUACCUCUGUUUUGAAAUUACUAUUCCUAAAGAAACUACCCUUUUCCAUCCCUAAAAUGCCCUUCCAAUAGUCUGAAAAUUGCAGACUGGAAUCGAUUGAUCCCAAUCCCUUACCCUGGCUAGAAUUUAAUUAAAGUUAGCCAAAACAAAAGAUUUUGUUCACCUAUAACCAACCAGGUUCACCUCUAAUGCAAAAUAUUCAAGCUGAAUCAUACUACCAAUUAAUCCUAAUGCACAUUCUACCAAGCCAAUAAUCACAUGAAAGUAAUCAUCAACAAUGAGAAUAGACUAAGCUAACAACUAAUCACGGAAUCAUCAAUCCAUAAGCAAGAAACAGACAAAAGAGAAGAAUAGAACAAAGGCCUGGAAAAAUCAGAACAAGAAUCCAUAUAUGCAUUGAAUUAACAUUGAUACCACUACAUUCAACUAAUAAAUCCUAUUAUUCAUGAAUGACACUAAAGUACGAUCAAUAAACUACUAAUCCAACUAACUAAUUAAACUAACGAUGAUUCAGAGCUUAGGUCCUACUGUUAAUUGAAACAGCUAAACUGUUAAAGCAUAGAAACACGAACUAAUUUAACCUAAUAAAAUUAGACUAAAAAAAGUAAAAAUCAAAAUUAACCAUGGACAAUUUCCACAAUCGAUCAAAUCAAAUAGAGAAGAAGAAGAGACUGUUAGGCUACACUGAUGGAAAUCGAGCUUAGAAAGUUGGAGAGAAACUCACCGACGGAGAGAAAACUCCGGUCAACCACUGCCGUUCGAAUCUUUCCAGAUUUUUGACACGCAACAUCCCUAACCAUGUGUUUUUACAAGAGAACACAUGGUUAAGGAUAUUACGAUCCAAAAUCACAAAGAUUUGGGGUUAAGGUUUUGGCCGGAA
rnacentral:lncRNA from 1 species